rnacentral:rRNA from 1 species
GGAAAAUCAAAAAUGUUCCCCGGCGACGGGAAUCGAAAGUGAGAAUCAGCGGGAAGCAGGGAGGGCGAGGCGCGCGCCGCGCUUCCGGAAGCUUCUAGAAGCUCUAGGGGGGAAGGAGCCGAGAUGGGGACGUCGGAUCUGGACCGGCAGAUCGAGCAGCUCAAGCGGUGCGAGCCGCUGGCGGAGGCGGAGGUCAAGGCGCUCUGCCUCAAGGCCAUGGAGAUCCUCGUCGAGGAGAGCAACGUCCAGCGCGUCGACGCCCCCGUCACGAUAUGUGGAGACAUUCAUGGACAGUUCUACGACAUGAAAGAACUUUUCAAAGUUGGAGGUGACUGCCCAAAGACAAACUACCUGUUCCUUGGGGAUUUUGUCGACCGAGGAUUUUAUUCUGUUGAAACAUUUUUGCUUCUUUUGGCCUUAAAGGUUAGGUACCCAGAUCGUAUAACUUUAAUACGAGGAAAUCAUGAGAGCAGGCAGAUCACACAAGUUUAUGGCUUCUAUGAUGAGUGUCUUCGUAAAUAUGGCUCGGUGAAUGUCUGGAGAUAUUGCACAGAAAUAUUUGACUAUUUAAGUUUGUCUGCACUUAUUGAGAACAAAAUCUUCAGUGUCCAUGGAGGCCUUUCCCCUGCUAUUACGACACUGGAUCAGAUCAGAGUAAUAGAUCGCAAGCAAGAAGUGCCUCAUGAUGGUGCCAUGUGUGACCUUCUUUGGUCUGAUCCAGAGGAUGCUGUAGACGGCUGGGGAUUAAGUCCUCGAGGUGCAGGGUUCCUCUUUGGUGGAAACGUUGUCUCUUCAUUUAACCACUCAAACAACAUAGAUUAUAUUUGCCGUGCUCAUCAACUAGUCAUGGAAGGAUUCAAGUGGAUGUUCAAUAACAAGAUUGUUACUGUAUGGUCUGCUCCUAACUAUUGCUACAGGUGUGGCAAUGUUGCUGCAAUCCUAGAGCUUGAUGAGAACUUGAAUAAGCAGUUCCGUGUAUUUGAAGCUGCUCCACAUGAAUCAAGAGGUGUUCCUGCCAAGAGGCCUGCCCCAGAUUACUUUCUUUGAGACUGCACACAUGGCAUGUGACACGCUGUCUUUUCAUGCCCUUGAGCACCAGCGGGCCGAUAGGGGGUAUUGAAGGCGUGCCAUGUUGGCAGAUGGGCGCGUGCUUUGCAAGAGAUUAGCCAGGAGGUGCUUUCGGGAUGUAUAAAUCGAUUGUUCUGUGUCCGUCCAGGUCUAUUGUUUGUAACAAAGUUGAUGUCGGUAUCCACUUCUCCCCAAAAUAGCUCCAAUUUGAGCUUUGAGAAAAUGCCUCCGAGAAGGGAGUGGUGUAGAUGAAGCCACUCUGGGCCCAUGAUGUAAAAUUUUGAUGCCAGUCCCUUCCUCCCCUGGGAAUCCGUACAUUUUCUAGAAUGUAGAAUGGUAUGCAAAUGUGUGCCUUGAGUUUACCUUUUAGUUGCAUUGCAGGCAGCUGUAGG